rnacentral:rRNA from 1 species
AUUAACGCUGGCGGCGUGCUUAACACCUGCAAGUCGCACGAAGCACUUUAUUUGAUUUCCUUCGGGACUGAUUAUUUUGUGACUGAGUGGCGGACGGGUGAGUAACGCGUGGGUAACCUGCCUUGUACAGGGGGAUAACAGUUGGAAACGGCUGCUAAUACCGCAUAAGCGCACAGCAUCGCAUGAUGCAGUGUGAAAAACUCCGGUGGUAUAAGAUGGACCCGCGUUGGAUUAGCUAGUUGGUGAGGUAACGGCCCACCAAGGCGACGAUCCAUAGCCGACCUGAGAGGGUGACCGGCCACAUUGGGACUGAGACACGGCCCAAACUCCUACGGGAGGCAGCAGUGGGGAAUAUUGCACAAUGGGCGAAAGCCUGAUGCAGCGACGCCGCGUGAGCGAAGAAGUAUUUCGGUAUGUAAAGCUCUAUCAGCAGGGAAGAUAAUGACGGUACCUGACUAAGUAGCACCGGCUAAAUACGUG